AGGAGGCCAGUCUAUCACAGGGCGAGCAGAGGAGGCCAGUCUAUCACAGGGCGAGCAGAGGAGGCCAGUCUAUAACAGGGCGAGCAGAGGUCUACGCACUCAAAGGGCAGCUCAGGGACACCAGCCCACCCAAAUCAGAUGCACAGGUCAGCCACACCCUCAGGGCGGCGAGAUUAAUCAGGGACAGGGCAUAGAUUCAGUCUCAUUAGACACCUGGAGAAAUGUGCGAGAGCAGUAAAGAGCUCCUUCACUGGCUCGCUUUGGGGAAUCUAGCCACCAGGACAGCUGUGGACUGUUUCUCCACCACAAAGGAAAGAGGAUAUGAGCAGCCUCUCAUUUUAAGGGUAGAGGGCAAUAAUGACUGUGCUGACCACAGACCAGCUAUAAACCAUUCACCUGAGAACCAUUAUCCUCACGCUGGGAGCCCGUAACCGCCAGCCUAGAAGAGUGAGGGCGUUUACUCUUGCAAAUUGCAGCUUGUUGAAUUAAUAAAUGAAACAGCUGGAGCAGGAAACAGUGAAAGUAUGAAAAAAAGUGCUAAAAUAGCGGUAAAAAAGUGAAUGUGGCAGAAUGAUCCCAGGACUUCAGUGUCAUUUCAAAGCAUCAUUCUGCAUCGAAACACAGCACUGCAUCCAAAUAUGGUUUUCAGCACUGCAGCUGCUGCUGACUCUGAUGAAUGAUCUGUUGUGGGAACAUAAACCCAGAAAAAAUGCAAUAUAACCGCCAGCAUUUACUGAAAGAGAAUGAGUCAAACUCCAUGGAUAUAUUUGUUAUGGAAUGAAGACUGUAGGAUUACAGUAUAUCGUGCGCUACAAAGAGAAGGAAAAAGAGAAAAAUCCAGACCAUGAGGAACACAGGUCAGUCCUGCAUGUCGGGGACAAGACGAGCCGGUGAAGUGUGACACACACGUCAAGUCCCUGAUACUGCUGCUGCAUGACACGAGGAUUUUUAAGCCUCGCACUGAUAUAGCGUCUGAGGUAAAAUGGCAGGAGGGCAGCCCUGGAUGAAACAGAGUGAAGCCAGUUGAAAUCAAAAGGCUGCAUACACCAUUUACUGGCUUUAUCCAGGGACUGAGACGAUGCGUUUACGUCAAUCCAGAAGCACUUCGGCUAAAGCUAAACAAGUCCAGCCAUUAUCGCAAAGCACAGUCCACUGCAGUUAGUCCUCUGAUUGCCAUGGAAACGGUGUACCGUUAUAAACAGCUACCGUACCACUACACGAUGGUCUGUGCACGAGGAGCACUGAAACCACUCAAGUCAAUUUCUCAGCUAAUAAAGACUUUAAGCCCUGGGAUCCUGAGAAUGAAGUCCGUGGUGGAGCAGAAAGGUGCAGAUUUGUGUUUGCCGCAGUGCUGGGAAUCGGAGUUUUGUGCACUGAAGGUACAUUCAUGAAUAUGUAGGAGUGUAAUUGUGUUUUCAUCUACCCACAUUUUACUGCAACUGCUGUGUUACUGGGAGAAGAGACAACUGUGGAAGAGUCUAGGAGUCGCAGAGGCAAGACAACAAGGACACCAGGCUUUAGAAUAACACCGCUUCCUUCCCUAGCAGGUCGAAUCCUUUGCUUUUCCCCUCUGUAACUAGAUGCUUACAACACAGAGCUCCACUGAAGAAAGCUGCUUCACAGACUUCAGAGAGCCUGCCCUGCUCGUCAGGCAAAUAGCGAGUGUGAGGGAUGGAUGAAGGUGUAUGUUUGGAACUGGGGAGUCCUCUAAUGACUCCCACGCAGCCAUUGUUUUCCUAUAUUUUCUGGAACCCUCCUUCAUCUUGGAAGGCAACACCAGUCAUUGGCACACCAAAGAGGCCGUCUUCUUGAUAACGGAAUACUCUUUAGGGCGGCAGACUGAAGCUCGCUCUCCUGCCCCCCCAUGUAACAUCAUAGGCCCAAUGGAAAAGUCAGGGGUUGAAAAAGACUGGAGUCUACUACAAAUGAACAAUAUCACAGCCUGGCCAUAGACCUCCUACUGUAAGUCAGGCCUGAGGAAUGGGAGAAAUAACCUAGACUGCAGGCUUCAAAUGGACUAUGCCUGACAGGGACUUCUGCAUGACCCCCAUGGAGAGUUUCUUGGUACUGAAGCCACUGUCUGCAUAGUCUUCAAGUGUCUUCAAACUAAAUGAUCUAAGGGCCCUGUUUGUAGAGUGACCUGGCCAUUUCCAGCACACUAACAAACACAAAAGGGUCUCCCUUUUACGGUCCCCAGGUUAGAAACAAAAUGAUGCCAGUUUAAUAACAAAUGAAGUAAUAAUGUACAAAAAUUAUCAAAACACUUCCAGGAAAUCCCAUCAUAGUUCCUCACUGAAACAUUUAUCACAUCACAGAAUGUACCCAGCAAUGCAUUUCCCAUCCCAAAGUGCCUCCUGGUUAACCGCAGAACCUGUGGUUAGCAGUCCACCCAGUUAGUUCCAUUAGUGACAUCAGGAUUAGGGUGUCUAUUUAGCCGUUAUUGACUAAAAGUUAUUGAACAAAGGAGAAAGUUAGCAAAGUACUCUCUGGAUGUGUGGAGAAAAAAAAAUCCCCUCAGUAAAUCAGGCAACCCAGUUGUUGUCCUAAAAAGAGUAGCUCUAUUUCCUAGCAAAUUCAGCUUAAAAAUCUUAAUCAUGCGGCAGGAUAACUCACAGUAGCCAUAUUGUGUACAUUAAUGCUGUCAAAAUCCACGGUCUUAGUGUUUAAGAUCCUCUAACAGAUAUAAAUCAUGGGUACAUGAGCAGGAAGCAGAUAUUCCUGUUUCAUAAGAGCCGAGAAGCUCAGCGGUAUCAGAGGGAUGGAGGGAUGGAGGGAUGGAGAUUCCCUGGCAGCCGCUAAACCCUUCAUUUUCAUCAGGACAAUAGGGCCCCUAGCCUCUCAUUCCACACAGCCAAUCCCCAAUACUCUGAUAAGCAGGCUAUGUCCCGUCAUCUCUCCAUCCUAAUUUGUGAAAGAUAAAUCAUUAUAGAACAACUUCAGUAAUAAUAUAUACUGUUUGCGCAUGGCACCAUAUUACCAUAGUACUGCCAUCACACUCCAUGUUUUCUUUCAACUGACUGUCCUUAAAGCUUCCGGGCUUUUAGAAUCACAUAAACAUGCUGUGACUUUGAAACCCAAAACAAAUUGGGGGGGGGGCUUCUCCUUGCAUUGAAAAGGUCAGCCUAUAGGCGUGUGAAGGAGCUCUGAUUGGCCAGGGAUGAAAACGCCUCUAACGGGCCACUUCCAUCCAAGGUUCCCUUCUGUAAUUAUGCGAGGGAUUAUUAUUCAGGUAUCCAGGUACCCAACAAACAAACUGGUACAGUAACUGUGAAACGCAUACCCUCCAUAACCCAUAGCUUCCACGUGGCUAUGCUCCUCACUAUCUUAUGGAAUUACUUCAGCCCUACUCUCCCAUUUGCAGACUUAGAUCUUCAUCUUCUGUUUUGUUGUUGGUCCCAAGACUUAAACUUACCACCAUGGGUUCUCAGGCAUUUAGGGCUUGCUGUCCCCAAGCUGUGUAACUGUCUUUGUGACCCAUACUCAAGUCCCUUCUUUUCUCUCUCUACUAGCCCUCCUUUUCUGGUCACUGACUCUCAUUUUGUGCAUUCUGUUUUUUACCAUCGUUUGAGUUCGUCUACUGUCUUUGCCCAUGUUAUUUGUGAUUAUGCUUCUCCCAUCAUUUCAUUUGUAACGAUUACCCUUUGUUUAUCAUCCCUCUAUAAAGCAUCCGUGAGUUGGUGAAAGGCGUUAUAUAAAUUACAUUUUCUUGUUGUACUGUAUAUCUAAGAACAGUCUGCUAUCUCUGAAGAUACUUGAGCAAAGUGUGAAUACCUUUAUCGUCAUUAGAUGCAUUACUCACGCUUGUUCAGCCUACACUGUGUUUAAAGUCUAUCAGGUCUGGUAGUGAUCAAACUAGCGUCCCUCAGCAUACAAGUCUGUCCCCGACCACCAAGUGGAGGUCACAUGUGUCACAUUAGCAGAUUAAUCAUUUAAGCAUGCUGUUAAAGGUAGAUAUGUAAGAAUACAAUGACCCUUCUGAGAUUUCUCCUGAAAUCUUAGUUACACCAUCAGCUCCAUUAAACACUGUCUCCACUUUAACUGUAUAUCACAGCUGCUGGUUGAAAACCACUGACCCAACUGCUACAUCUUGGCACCUCGAAGUCAAACCGGAUGGGAUCGUGUUUCAAUCAGCUAAUUAGGCACAGGGCCAGCUGCUCUCUCCUUGUAAAUGAACAGCAGUUCUGUCCCCAACAGGGCUCACCUAGACUGCUAGCCAUUCAGGCCCAUUGAGUACCGGUUAUGGAUACUGACGCUACAUUUAGACAGAAGGGGAAAAGAAAACCUUUACGGAGUUAUUAACUGUUCUAGGGCGGAAUCCACAACACAUUUUCUGACCAGUAUUGCAUGAAUUUGUUACAAGCCAGGCAUAUCUCAGGGAGUCGGACUGGGGGGGAGCUCAGCCACUGUUCUUCAUGGGAGUCAGGUGAUAUACCGAUGGCUGCUUUUGAUGAAUCAUCCCACAGCAGAUACUGUAGAUUCAUUUACAUAUAGCCCUGAUUUGAGCCUUUCUACAUACAGAGUCAACCAGAGGCUGACAGAACAACACAGCAAAGUAAGCCAGUUGGCGAACCGGCCUAAGUGUCCCACUCCCAGCCCAAGUCUCAUCCAUGAACAUUGCAGGUGUUUCCCUUCCGUAAUCCUGUCCCGUAAACCGUCCCCCUCUUUGUUUUCACUUAAUCCCCGAAAAGAGGGAGUUCUCUAAAACCCAGCGUCACGUGGUACGCUUUCCCAAGCCACUAAUCCUGGCACAGAACCCUUCUCCAGCCACAAAGCCAACAAUGUGCGUGUCUUUUCUAGUUAGCAGCCAGCAAUGAUCUCUUAAAGCUAUCUGAAGCAGAACAGUGUAUGAACCAUUUUACACUUACAAUAAAUCAAAUUCCACUCUCAGGGUUGGACAUGAAAGUUUACUGCCUCCCUUUUGACAGAGGCUACACAGUGUCAAAAACACUGCAAACUCUUUUCAUUAUUUCACAAUUUAUUCACCUGCACCUUGUAUUCUAUAGAAGACUAAACAAGACAUACCUAUAAAUACAUAAAUGUAAAUCAUGACAAACAUAAAUAAAAAACAUUCAUACAUUUUGGUCAUGAGAAAAUAGCAUAAUUAGGUCUACAUUUAUUAAUUUAUCUAGUUCUGAAUUUCUGUAUUUAUACAUUCAUUUAUUUAUUUCUGUAUUUCCCAUUAUCUUCAUUUGUUUAUUUCUGUCUCUUUAUGUUAAUAAGGCAGCUGCUCCUCGCUCAGUGCAGGACUGGCUAAAGAGGUGGAAUCUUGUAUCAUUAAUUUCUGUAUUUCUAUUUACACUUAAGUUUAGUCCUCCAUAGUAUUCAGGUUCUGCCCAAAGCCCAGAGAUCACUAAUUUCGCCUUUCGACUGAUUUUAAUAGAGUCAUUUAGGGCAGGUAGAGGGAAUGCAUCCAGUAGAUCAACUAUUGAUUUGUACUCCAACACCCCAACUGUAGCAAAACAGAAGCCAAAAUGCCCUCUCUCCACGUUGCAAUCUGACGUUUUCUGACCACAAAAUAUGACCCAGAUAUAGGCAGGCAAGGUUCCGGUGUGCAUCUGAGUGAGGGGAAGGUUGUUAUCCGCAUCUAAAUCUGUUUAGACUGACAGGGAAUAGGCCCAUCCAUUGGCCAACUGGCUGUUAAAAUCAAGUAGGAAAUCCAUCCUCUACGUCUGAGCUGUUCACAGCUUAUUGGCUUGUCCGGACUGUGCGAUUGGGCAGUCGGAUUUAAUGUUGGAUAAUUUAUCAAUAGCUAUGCAUCAUUUCCUGGACAAUGGAUCUCCGUGUGGAAAAACCCACCAUUUGCCUAAUGAAUAUCACAGACCAGAUGUUAAAUCACUGCUUGGAUAAAGAGCAGGUACUGAACCACAGAUCACGAUUUGGUCUUUGAACACACACUCGGAGAUCUGAAGGUGAAACUUCCCACAAGUCUACAGAGUUACAUGGAGUGCGAGUCCUUAGCUGACGGUUGGUUUUCAAACAUUUCACUUUUGCUCUGCCCUGAGCUGUUCUUGGCCUCCCUGUGAGGUAGGACCACAGCUCAUGCUCUUCACUUGAUCUCU